rnacentral:rRNA from 1 species
GAUGAACGCUGGCGGCGUGCCUAAUACAUGCAAGUCGAACGCACAAACGAGGAGCUUGCUCCUCUUGGAUUAGCGGCGGACGGGUGAGUAACACGUAGGUAACCUGCCUAUUAGCCUGGGAUAACUUCUGGAAACCAUAGCUAAUACCGGAUAAUAUUUUAAGACACAUGUUUCUUAAUUGAAAGACGGUUUUGCUGUCCCUUAUGAUGGACUCCGCUCGUAAUUAGCUGUUUGGUAAGGUAAGGGCUUCCCAAGGCACCGAUGAUUAGCCGACAUGGGAGGGGGAUGGGCCAAACUGGAACUGAGACACGGUCCAGAUUCCAAGGGGAGGAAGCAGAAGGGAAUCUCCGGAAAGGGGCGAAAGCUGGACGGAGAAAGGCGGCGUGAGGGAGGAAGGUCUUCGGACCGUAAAACUCUUUGAUUAGGGAAGAAGAAAGGUGUAAGUAACUGUGCACACUGUGACGGUACCUAAUCAGAAAGCCACGGCUAACUACGUG